AGCAGGAGGGGUGGCGGGGAUGGUUGUUGGGAGUCUGCUGCACUGUGCGCAGGCACUCGGGCGGUAUGGUGCGGAGGAAGCCGGGGCUGCAGAGGGGCAACUUUGCCUGGCUGUGCAGCCCAGAGGGGAGGGGCCGUCGCCAGGGGUGGGCUGGGCGCCUGUCUCCCGGAGUCACCUCCCCGCACACACAGGCACCACGUGCACGGUGCACCUCCAUGAGCGUGCCUCUGCACGCCCACUGCCACAUCUGCACACGCGUGUUCACAUGCUCACCCACACAGGAGUACACACUUCUGUGUGCACAGAGACAUGAACACCCAUGCACACACACGGAUUCAGCACUUGCACACUCACCCUGUGCGUGCACACUGCACGCUCGCAUAUACCUCCAUGCGUUGUGCACCCACACAUUUCCCUGCCGCUACACACAAUGGGUGCAUAGAUGUCCACAUGUGCUUGUUCACAAGUGUGUGAACAUUAACAUUCUUACACAAAUGUACAACAGGCACACGUAUGCAGGCAUAUGCACAGGUACCACGUUUGUGCGGAUAAUCACGAACAACUACCCACAAGCAUAAUCUUGUGCAUGCACAUCUAUGAAGGUACAUAUACUACCCGGGUGGACGCAUGGCCGUGCACACCUAUGUCUCUGUGCACAGCCCACUCCCACAGGGCACACACCCCGAGCUGCAGAGCGGACUUGUGCUGCUGUGCUCGCAGCAGCCCUUCCUGAGUGGGUCCCCCUGCACCUCACUCUUGUGCAGCCCUUCAGCCCUCUCCAUCUACGCUGAGGGCCACUUGCCCUUGCCUCAUGUGGCCCCUGGGCAUUGGCAUGUGCUGUUCUAUCCUGUCUCUGCCUCCUUGUCUGUCCCUGAGGCUCUCUUCCGUCCACAUUGGUAGCCUGCGGCCCCUCUUCCGGGACGCCACCCUUCUCAGCCCAGCUGGGCCUUUGGCCCCUUUGCCAGCCUCCUGCGUGCUGCCCAGGCAAAGCCAUCAUCAUGACCAGUUCUUUGGUAGUGCUUGUACCCUCCACCUGGUCCAGCAGCCAUGCACGGCUCCUAGGAGGGGCUCCGUUAAAGCGUGCUGUGGGGUGGGUGGCAGGAGGGAGGGGCCUGAGCCGCCUGACCUCCAGCCUCAGCCCUGCUGGGAGCCUCUGGGUGCUGGGUGCGCCGUGGGCCCAGGAGACAGUGGUAGGGCCUCUCCCCGGCAGCUUCCUCUGCCAGCCUGGCAUCCCAUGCCCAGCAGGCCCUUCCGGGCUGCCUUGAAGUGGGGGGAGCCCCCUGCCCUCCUGGCACCAGUUUCCCCUGCCUUGGAGCAGAGGCCCAGGUUGGGGCCUCCAAGGUCCAUGCUGGCUGCCCACCGGUGCCGUGUGUGCCCUGCCUCCUUUGCUGUCCACUGGUCACUCUGGGGUGAGGAGGACCGGCCCAGCGGAGACCCCUUGGCAGGCCUGAGCGAAGCCUGGGCAGCUCCCGGAACAGCACCAGGUGCACGAGUCUGCUGCAGCCGAGCUGAGGAUCUUCCCUCGUAGGUGCUGGAAAUUUCAUUUUUCAACGCGAGGCAGGACAGCGUGAGGCUGGCUUCUCUCCCGCCCCUCCCCACAGGCUUCCAGAAACCUAUCUGUCUGUCUAGUCAGAAGGUGGCCAGCCUGGCCCUGGGCGCACAGCCGCAGACGGAAUCCAUUGCAUAUUGAUCGGGGCUGGAUCUGGCGUAGCUGAGCUCCGACAGCCCGGAGGAGGACGGCUGGCCGCGGACUGGGCCAGUGGUGGAUUAGAGCAGGGCUCCUCUCCUCUUGGUCCACUGUGUGCCCACCCGGUCCAGGGCCUGGCUGCCCGAGGUGUGUCCCCCUCUCGGCUGCCUGAGGCCCCAAAGCAGCCUCUCUGUCGCCCACAGCUUGCAUCUGCCUACCCUGACCCGCCCUGGAAGCCAGGCCUCCCCGCAGCAUCUCCAUCCUAACUUUCAGUCCACAAGCAGCACAGGAGCAAGGCAGUCCCAGGAGCCUCAGCUCCUGCCCUCCUGGGCCUGGGCCUAGGCAGACGGCAGUUGUGGGCCUGCACCUGGGCUCGGCUCACUGGGUUUUACACCUGUGACCUUGGGAAGAGCCUGUCCUGGACACCCAACCUCAUUGGCUCCUUGCAGGGUCCCCAGAAGAGGCUGUGGGAAUGGAGUGCAGGACUCAGCCAGUGAGACCUCCCUGAUGACAAGUAAGAAAUGACCAAGAAGACCCAUUUGCUGCCUUUCCCUUGCUGUGUGUGUACAAACGUGAUACCCGGAGCUGUGGCAGCUGUCAUGUGAUGAGGAGGAACUGAGGAGCUGAGGAGGAGAAAAGCCACCGCGGGAAAGAGGCCACAUCCCCAUACAUUGUUCCUUGGCCUCUUGACCCCACCCUGUGGCCACCCUUUGGCCAGGUGUCCUCCUGCUGAGAGAGCCCCCAGGUCCUCCCAGCAGGCAGCGCGAGGAGUAGUCCAGAACGCUUGGGUUGGAACCUGGACAUCUCCAGCCCACACUCAGCAAGAUCAGCCGUGUUCUCUUGAGCUUUCCCCUCCCAGAAACCCUGAGCUGGAAAAUCGCAUGAAUCCGGCAAGGAGGUAAAUGCCUCCUUUUCAUCAGCACGGAGAUGCCCUUCUGGGUCUCAGCCAGGACAAACACAGGCCGGGCUUCGCGGCCUCUGCGCAGCGGGUGGAGUUGCCAGGGUCCCCUUGACCCAGGGAACUGCGGAGUGCUUUGGGGCUUCGUUGUCUGGUGUGGGUGCAAGGCCUGCUGGUGUCCAGGAGGGGGCGACAUUCCGGGCCCUGGCCCAGGAGAGGGGCAUCACGCUCUCUGCCCCGGGCCUUGACCAUUGACAGGUGACCCAGUGUCUCUCACCUCCCCGAGGGGUCAUCACUGGGCUGCCCUCGCUCCAACCCUGUGCCCCUGCCCUUCCCACCAUGACCUUCCGGCCCACUCCCUCACCUCUGUGCUCUCGGGGUCCCCCAGCCCAGCACAAGGUGGACACACGAAACCAGCUGAUGGCCUAAUGAGGGAGUGGGGACAUUGAAUAGUCACCUCCGAGGCAGGCAGCCCUUGGGACACCCUCCCAGGACCCCGGCAGGGAGGCCAGUUGCAAGUUAGGGGUGUGAGUCACCCCCAGCUGGUGCCACCUGAGCCCAGGCAGCAGGGCCCAGCUUGCCUGGCUGGGCACCUUCUCAGGCCCCAGCAGAUGAGAGAAGCCCGGCCCUCCCAGGGACAGCACCCUGCACCAGAGCUGACGUCCUCGGGGACGCCCGGCUCCCCGCUGUGCAUCCUGUGGACCUGCAUCGGCCUGCCCAAGCUGGCCUCUUCUCAUAUGGCCACGGCCAUCUGGAGCCACAGCCCUGCCAGGUCCCCGUGGCUUUCCGCUGCCCUGUCACUGCCCUGCAGGUACCUGCUCUGUGCGGCCACUGCCACCCCUCCCAGGGUGCCUAGUGCCGGACACUUCCCACCAUUGGACAGGGCCACCCAGAGGACCCCGGGCAUGGGAACCCUGGGCUCUGGUGCCAACACUCCCCCGUGUCCCUACCUCAGUCCUCAGGUCCCUGUAGAGACAGCUGCUGUGAGAGAGGUGUGUGCCCAGGCCCUGCAGCCCCUCCCUGUGUCCUGACACGGCCAUGUUAGUGGUGGUAGGAGUGCAGCGGGAGCCUUCCGCAGUGGGGGCUCAUUCCAAAGGUCUGGCCUGCUAAGCAGAGCAUGGUGCCACACACUUGUAGUCCUAGCACUGGGGAGGCUGAGGCAGGAGUAUCACCACAAGUUUGAUGCCAGCCUAGGCUACGUAG